GAUGAAGAACGCAGCGAAUUGCGAUAAGUAAUGUGAAUUGCAGACUUUCAGUGAAUCAUCGAAUCUUUGAACGCACCUUGCGCUCCUUGGUAUUCCAAAGGGCAUGCCUGUUCGAGCGUCAUUUGUACCCUCAAGCUUUGCUUGGUGUUGGGCGUCUUGUCUCUAGCUUUGCUGGAGACUCGCCUUAAAGUAAUUGGCAGCCGGCCUACUGGUUUCGGAGCGCAGCACAAGUCGCACUCUCUAUCAGCAAAGGUCUAGCAUCCAUUAAGCCUUUUUUUCAACUUUUGACCUCGGAUCAGGUAGGGAUACCCGCUGAACUUAAGCAUAUCAAUAAGCGGAGGA
rnacentral:misc_RNA from 1 species